CAGAGUUUGAUCUGGCUCAGGAUGAACGCUAGCUACAGGCUUAACACAUGCAAGUCGAGGGGCAGCAUGUUGGUUGCUUGCAACCAAUGAUGGCGACCGGCGCACGGGUGAGUAACGCGUAUCCAACCUACCCUUGUCCAUCGGAUAACCCGUCGAAAGGCGGCCUAACACGAUAUGCGGUUCUCAGCAGGCAUCUAACGAGAACGAAAUGUGAAGGAGAAGGAUGGGGAUGCGUCUGAUUAGCUUGUUGGCGGGGUAACGGCCACAAGGCGACGAUCAGUAGGGUCUGAGAGGAGUCCCCANAUUGGAACUGAGACACGGUCCAAACUCCUACGGGAGCA
rnacentral:rRNA from 1 species